GACGAACGCUGGCGGCGUGCUUAACACAUGCAAGUCGAACGGAAAGGCCCUGCUUUUGUGGGGUGCUCGAGUGGCGAACGGGUGAGUAACACGUGAGUAACCUGCCCUUGACUGGGGGAUAACUUCAGGAAACUGGGGCUAAUACCGGAUAGGAGCUCCUGCUGCAUGGUGGGGGUUGGAAAGUUUCGGCGGUUGGGGAUGGACUCGCGGCUUAUCAGCUUGUUGGUGGGGUAGUGGCUUACCAAGGCUUUGACGGGUAGCCGGCCUGAGAGGGUGACCGGCCACAUUGGGACUGAGAUACGGACCAGACUGCUACGGGAGGCAGCAGUGGAGAAUAUUGCACAAUGGGCGGAAGCCUGAUGCAGAGACGCCGCGUGCGGGAUGACGGCCUUCGGGUUGUAAACCGCUUUCGCCUGUGACGAAGCGUGAGUGACGGUAAUGGGUAAAGAAGCACCGGCUAACUACGUG
rnacentral:rRNA from 1 species